UACAACCUGAGCGUGGCCGUGCCCAGCAGCUGCCUGCAGCAGGUGGAGGAAAAUGGGCUCCAGAAAUCCCCCUGGAAGGAUUUUGGAGCGGGGGGAAAGAGCCACCUGAGCGCUGUCACCACUGCAGCAGCACUAGUGCAGGAGCUCUUACACUGGCGGUUCAUGUGGCACGAACCCAGGGUGAAAAAUCGAGAAUUAUUGAGAGCCAACAAACAACCCACAAGGAGAAAUAAGUGCAAUUUUUGAAAUUCUUUCUCCAUCAUCUCUACAGCCAUCCCUGAAUGAGAUAAAGUUCUCUUUUACCAGGAAGUUGACAGCUCUGCAAGGAGUCUGUGUUCCAAAGGGAUGGGAGUCCCUGGCCAUGUAGAUGAGGCAUGAAGAGAUUGGGAAUAUUUCCUAAGGACAAAAGGGAAACCUGAGUCAGUGCCAGCAAGUCACAAAUCUUCAUUCAACCUUACUACACCCAGCAUCUGUUCAGGCGCUGCAAGGGGAGCCUUGAAAACCUGGAAAAAUCCCUCAGUUUUGGGCAAUGUGUUCUGGUGGUGCCAUCACAUCCAGGCAGGCUAUUCCUCAAGAGUGUGUAAAUGGAAUAAACACGGAUAGAGGAAGAUUUGAGAGUUGCACCCUUCAUCUUCGCUCUUGUUACAACCUAAGGAGUGCAGAAAAGGGAAUAUGAGAGGAUUUAGAAGAUGAAAAAGGGUUGAGAAGCACAUGAGUACCAUUCAGGCCUUCCAAACCCUUUAAUUUGCUAUUCAGAUUACCACUUUUUAUAGUUUAAUAUGUACAAUAUGCAAAGGAACCAGUUUAACUAAAUGGGAAAAGCCUUCUGUGUUAAGGUUGAACGUAAUCUAAUAGGGCCCUUUGACUUGAUUCAAUUAAAUCCUUCUUUUUCCAAUUAAAUAAUCAUCCAGAAUUUAAUAAAAAUGAAUUUCCAUGUGUCAUCCUGCAGAAUGAUGACCUCUGUGAUGGGGAAGGCUUAUGUAAAUUCUGCUGAUCGCUUUUUAUCUGCCUCUGCCUCACUUCCUCCAAAAAAAUUGCCUUCUGUCUGUAUAUUUACAUUAAUUUCUCAUCUGCUCCAUGUAUCUGU